rnacentral:rRNA from 1 species
AACUUUCAACAACGGAUCUCUUGGUUCUGGCAUCGAUGAAGAACGCAGCGAAAUGCGAUAAGUAAUGUGAAUUGCACAAUUCAGUGAAUCAUCGAAUCUUUGAACGCACAUUGCGCCCCUCGGUAUUCCGGGGGGCAUGCCUGUUCGAGCGUCAUUA